GACGAACGCUGGCGGCGUGCUUAACACAUGCAAGUCGAACGGUGAAGCGCUUUCCUUUUUGGUUGGUGUGGAUGAGUGGCGAACGGGUGAGUAACACGUGAGUAACCUGCCCCCUUCUUCUGGAUAACCGCAUGAAAGUGUGGCUAAUACGGGAUAUUCUGCGCCUGCUGCAUGGUGGGUGUGGGAAAGAUUGUGCCUUUGGGUGUUUUCGGUGGGGGAUGGGCUCGCGGCCUAUCAGCUUGUUGGUGGGGUGAUGGCCUACCAAGGCGGUGACGGGUAGCCGGACGGAGAGGGUGGACGGUCACACUGGGACUGAGACACGGCCCAGACUCCUACGGGAGGCAGCAGUGGGGAAUAUUGCACAAUGGGCGCAAGCCUGAUGCAGCGACGCCGCGUGAGGGAUGGAGGCCUUCGGGUUGUGAACCUCUUUCGCCAGUGAAGCAGGCCUGCUCCUUGUGGGUGGGUUGACGGUAGCUGGAGAAGAAGCGCCGGCUAACUACGUG
rnacentral:rRNA from 1 species